AACGAACGCUGGCGGCAGGCCUAACACAUGCAAGUCGAGCGAAGCCUUCGGGCUUAGCGGCGGACGGGUGAGUAACGCGUGGGAACGUGCCCUUUGGUACGGAAUAGCCCCGGGAAACUGGGAGUAAUACCGUAUGUGGUCGAGAGACGAAAGACUUAUCGCCAAAGGAUCGGCCCGCGUUGGAUUAGCUAGUUGGUGGGGUAAAGGCCUACCAAGGCGACGAUCUGUAGCGGGUCUGAGAGGAUGAUCCGCUGCACUGGGACUGAGACACGGCCCAGACUCCUGCGGGAGGCAGCAGUGGGGAAUAGUGGACAAGGGGGGAAACCCUGAUCCAGCGACGCCGCGUGGGUGAUGAAGGCCUUCGGGUUGUAAAGCCCUUUCGUCCGCGAUGAUGAUGACAGUAGCGGAAGAAGAAGCUCCGGCUAACUCCGUGCCAGCCGCCGCGGUAAAAC
rnacentral:rRNA from 1 species